rnacentral:rRNA from 1 species
GCUCACUGAAUCUUUCACGCGUUUGGAAGGUUUUGUGAGUGAUGGCGAGCGGCGGACGGCUGAGUAACGCGUGGGAAUCCACCCCAAAGUGAGGGAUAACGCACCGAAAGGUGUGCUAAUACCGCAUAUGGUCUUCGGAUUAAAGUUUUAACGCUUUGGGAGGAGCCCGCGUCGGAUUAGAUAGUUGGUGAGGUAAUGGCUCACCAAGUCGACGAUCCGUAGCUGGUCUGAGAGGAUGAUCAGCCAGACUGGAACUGAGAUACGGUCCAGACUCCUACGGGAGGCAGCAGUGAGGAAUAUUCCACAAUGGGCGAAAGCCUGAUGGAGCAAUGCCGCGUGCAGGAUGAAGGCCCUCGGGUUGUAAACUGCUUUUAUAUGAGAAGACUAUGACGGUAACAUAUGAAUAAGGACCGGCUAACUACGUGCCAGCAGCCGCGGUCAUACGUAGGGUCCAAGCGUUAUCCGGAGUGACUGGGCGUAAAGAGUUGCGUAGGCGGUUAUGUAAGCGAGUGAUGAAAACUAUCGGCUCAACCGAUAGCCUAUUAUUCGAACUGCAUAACUCGAGAGUAUCAGAGGUCGCUGGAAUUCCUAGUGUAGGAGUGAAAUCCGUAGAUAUUAGGAGGAACACCAAUGGCGUAGGCAGGCGACUGGGAUAUUUCUGACGCUAAGGCACGAAAGCGUGGGGAGCGAACCGGAUUAGAUACCCGGGUAGUCCACGCCGUAAACUAUGGAUGCUAAUUGUUUGGGGUAUCGACCCCUCGAGUAAUAAAGCUAACGCGUUAAGCAUCCCGCCUGUGGAGUACGGCCGCAAGGCUAAAACAUAAAGGAAUUGACGGGGACCCGCACAAGCGGUGGAGGAUGUUCUUUAAUUCGAUGCUAAGCGAAG